rnacentral:lncRNA from 1 species
UGACGUUGAAGAACUCCGGGGUUUCGAGGAAGGAGGUGCCGAAGAUGGGCGGAUCGUUGGAGAGCGGCUGGCUGAAGUCCCAGGCGGGGCGGGCCAUGACGAGGAAGUGGUCGUGGCCGCCGCGGCGGUGCCAGAUCGAGGGGCGGUCGAGGCGGGUGAGGAAGUGGAAGAGGUCGAGGCCGUGGAGGAAGCUGGAGUUCUGGUCGGGGCCGUAGAGGUAGCGGAGGGCGUCGAGGGCUGCGUAGUAGGGGAGGUAGACGGCGGCGGCGAGGGCGGG